rnacentral:rRNA from 1 species
GAAUUCUCUCUUGAGUGGAUCCUGAGUACGACGGAGCACGUGAAAUUCCGUCGGAAUCUGGGAGGACCAUCUCCUAAGGCUAAAUACUCUCUAGUGACCGAUAGUGAACCAGUACCGUGAGGGAAAGGUGAAAAGUACCCCGGAAGGGGAGUGAAAGAGAACUUGAAACCGUGUGCUUACAAGUAGUCAGAGCCCGUUAAUGGGUGAUGGCGUGCCUUUUGUAGAAUGAACCGGCGAGUUACGAUCUGAUGCAAGGUUAAGCAGAAAAUGUGGAGCCGUAGCGAAAGCGAGUCUGAAUAGGGCGAAUGAGUAUUUGGUCGUAGACCCGAAACCAGGUGAUCUACCCUUGGUCAGGUUGAAGUUCAGGUAACACUGAAUGGAGGACCGAACCGACUUACGUUGAAAAGUGAGCGGAUGAACUGAGGGUAGCGGAGAAAUUCCAAUCGAACUUGGAGAUAGCUGGUUCUCUCCGAAAUAGCUUUAGGGCUAGCCUCAAGUGAUGAUUAUUGGAGGUAGAGCACUGUUUGGACGAGGGGCCCCUCUCGGGUUACCGAAUUCAGACAAACUCCGAAUGCCAAAUAAUUUAACUUGGGAGUCAGAAUGUGGGUGAUAAGGUCCAUAUUCGAAAGGGAAACAGCCCAGACCACCAGCUAAGGUCCCAAAAUAUAUGUUAAGUGGAAAAGGAUGUGGCGUUGCCCAGACAACUAGGAUGUUGGCUUAGAAGCAGCCAUCAUUUAAAGAGUGCGUAAUAGCUCACUAGUCGAGUGACACUGCGCCGAAAAUGUACCGGGGCUAAACAUAUUACCGAAGCUGUGGAUUGUCCUUUGGACAAUGGUAGGAGAGCGUUCUAAGGGCGUUGAAGCAUGAUCGCAAGGACAUGUGGAGCGCUUAGAAGUGAGAAUGCCGGUGUGAGUAGCGAAAGACGGGUGAGAAUCCCGUCCACCGAUUGACUAAGGUUUCCAGAGGAAGGCUCGUCCGCUCUGGGUUAGUCGGGUCCUAAGCUGAGGCCGACAGGCGUAGGCGAUGGAUAACAGGUUGAUAUUCCUGUACCACCAUUAUUCGUUUUAAGCGAUGGGGGG